AACGCACGAGACCUGCGGACCUGCGGAAGGAUCAUUAUAGAAAAAAACUUUUAACAGAAGUGAUGAGAGAGAAAGAGGGGGGGGGAGGAGAAGAAGAGAGGGGUUAACUCUCACGUUUCCUCAUUCUCUCGCUCUCUCUUGUCAUUUCUGAACAAACAAACAUACGUGACUAAGAAAAACCAAAGAUUGAGAGAGAUUUGACUUGGUGCCUUGGUUGGUUAGGAAGUGAUAUCUCUCACA
rnacentral:misc_RNA from 1 species